rnacentral:rRNA from 1 species
UGACUNGAGUGCAGAAGGGGAGAGUGGAAUUCCAUGUGUAGCGGUGAAAUGCGUAGAUAUAUGGAGGAACACCAGUGGCGAAAGCGGCUCUCUGGUCUGUCACUGACGCUGAGGCUCGAAAGCGUGGGUAGCGAACAGGAUUAGAUACCCUGGUAGUNCACGCCGUAAACGAUGAGUGCUAGGUGUUAGGCCCUUUCCGGGGCUUAGUGCCGGAGCUAACGCAAUAAGCACUCCGCCUGGGGAGUACGACCGCAAGGUUGAAACUCAAAGGAAUUGACGGGGGCCCGCACAAGCGGUGGAGCAUGUGGUUUAAUUCGAAGCAACGCGAAGAACCUUACCAGGUCUUGACAUCCCGAUGCUAUUCUUAGAGAUAGGAAGUUACUUCGGUACAUCGGAGACAGGUGGUGCAUGGUUGUCGUCAGCUCGUGUCGUGAGAUGUUGGGUUAAGUCCCGCAACGAGCGCAACCCUUAUUGUUAGUUGCCAUCAUUAAGUUGGGCACUCUAGCGAGACUGCCGGUAAUAAACCGGAGGAAGGUGGGGAUGACGUCAAAUCAUCAUGCCCCUUAUGACCUGGGCUACACACGUGCUACAAUGGUCGGUACAACGAGUUGCGAGCCGGUGACGGCAAGCUAAUCUCUGAAAGCCGAUCUCAGUUCGGAUUGGAGGCUGCAACUCGCCUCCAUGAAGUCGGAAUCGCUAGUAAUCGCGGAUCAGCACGCCGCGGUGAAUACGUUCCCGGGCCUUGUACACACCG